CUUGACCUGGUUUAUCUGGUGAUUCAAUGUCAUCUUCUCUGAAGAGGCUGUAGAGGUGGACACUGCAGACCAACUCUGUCGCAGAAGAGGAAAGAAAAAUCUCCCACAGUCAGUCAAAGGAAAGAGAGGAUGAAGAGCAGAUACCUCCUCUCCAGUGUUGACAGACUCCCCACCAUCAAUGAGAUGCAAGAAAGUCCCACAGAGGAUGGAGACCUGGACUGGUGCACUCACACCAUGGAGGAGUAUGUGGAGUCCAUCAAGGAGCUCUCCCAGCCAGCCUGCUACCCGCUACACGGGCCCCUCAGAGGCCACCGCCGCUGGACAGGGCGACGUGCCGUCACACCUCCCGUCAUUUUUCUGAACUCUUCAAAGAUCCAUUCUCACUGGUCCUCAGACGAGUCACUGAUGUCAUCGGAGCAAUCAAACUUUGAGCCAUCCCUGCACUUUAAACAGGGAUUUCUGGACAUGGUGUCUCGAUCCCUGUUUGCAGGACUCCUAUGAGUCUGGAUCAGACUGAGCUACACCGAUGAUCAGAGUCGGACUGAUGCAAUAAAACAUGAAGCAAGCACAAAUGGGAUUCCCUAACAAGUGCUGAAUGAAACUGACGAUGAACAAAUAUAAAGGGCAGAACAGAGGCGUUUGCCCGAGGCCUGAGCCUGCUAAGAGUUUCCAUGGGGCCUGAGGAAAACUGAAAAUAUUAAUGGGAUUUCAUCAUUUAAAGCUGCACUAAUAAUUUCACUUUUCUCUAAAGCACCAAGCUCAGGCAGAUUUAUAGUGAGAGUUAUUUAAAUGACAAACUACAGCUUCUGAUUAAAAAGAAUGACUGUAAAAAUAAACUUUCCUGCUCAAAAAGUGAGAAGGCCUUUGACACGGAGCUAAAGAACCUUUAAUGAAUAAGAAAAUCAAGCCAAAUCUCAUUUAAUGAUGAACUUUAAGGAUAGAUGAUUGUUUUCAAUGUUAAGUGAAUGAAUAAAAAAUUAUUUUUUAAUUCAAAUAGCAUUUUUGAAAACUACAAACAAAAAAUAAUUUAAAUAAAUAAAGAAAUAAAGAAAGGUCACAAAACUCCACAGAAGGAUUUAUUUUAACAUAUGACAACAUUCGGCUGAAACUCAUAACUGAAGCACAGUAGAGGGGGGUUGAUGAUGUGGUCCACAAAAGCAGUUCUUUGAAUUGUUGUAAGGGUCCAAUUUGUGUAAACCUGUGUAAAAUCAAACAAGAAUGUGAAAAAGUAUUUUCUUUUUUUUAUCCAAAAUAAUAAAAAAAUAAAGUUCUA